AAUUUUUUUUCUAAUGCGGUGUUUAGUGUCAAUAAUACUAAGGUUUGUACACAUUUUUUUAACAUAAAGACUACAAUAUUUACUAAUUGCUUUAUUAAUGUUUGAUAAUAUCGUAAAAGUGAAUAGAAAUUAUACAAGUAUAAUAGGAAAUGCUGGAUAAAAAGUACUUUGAAAAUACAGGGGUAAUGAUAGAAUAUUUAAUUGUCGGUAAUUCAUUAGCAUUAAUAUGUAAUCAUGUCUAUCUUUUAGAAAACUAUAAUUUUCAGAUUAUUUCAAAAUCAAAUAAGUGUAUCUUGUUUUAACUAUUUUACGAAUAUUGUUGAAAUUGAACACGUAUUUAAAUUGAAAACAAAAUUUCAGAAGAAGAAAAAAAUCUGUCAUUGAAAAUAUGUUCUUUGUAGGAAAUAUUUUAAUAUAAAUGAAAAAUUUACCUUUACGAAUUAUACAACCGUAAUACACUUAAGUUAAUUAGAAACAGAACAUGUUGAUGCAGUUUAUAUCAUACUAACUGUUGAAGGAUAUUUGUUGCCCACACUAUUUAUUUAUACUUAUUCUUUCUAAUUUUGUAAUAUUUAAUAUUUGUGUUAAUUUGUGCACUUUUUAUGUCUGAUAUAUCCGUUUGAAUUGCUUAACAUUGUCAUUUCGGGGCCUUUAUAGCCGACUAUGCGGUAUAUGCAUUUUUGAAAGCUGUACGAUGACCUAAGGUUGUUAAUUUUUGUGUCAUUUUGGUUCUUGUGGAGAGUUGUCUCAUUGACAAUCAUAACAUAUCUUUUUCAUAGUUCAGUGACAAUGGACUUCAUACGAAACCCCCAAAUAAAUAUGUGAACUAAAAUUCAAAUCAUAGAAGACUAACAAAGGCUCCUGACUAAAAAAUGCGGUGAGGUUAAAAAUGUUUAGGAAGAUCUCAACCACCUCCCCUAUACCUCUAGCCAAUAUAUAAAAAUACAUAUUACGACUUUACAAUCACAGUUCACUAAUAUUAGAGUGUACAAAAUAGUAAAAGUAGCGGGACAUUAGAAUAUCCUGCUAUGCAUUUAUCAUACGCAAAUCCGAAAACAUAUUCAGUUAAAUAUAACAGUUGGAAGUAAGACACAGUCAGUACCAAAUCAACACAAGGAGAAGCUUUUUAUAUUCUCUAUCUAAACUGCAUAAGGAAAGGGGGAAAUUUUAUAAAAUUUUGUAUCACUGAAUAACCUGUAUUUCAACAAAAACGUAUAUCUCAUAUAUCCCAAUGAACUUUAAAUUCAAGAUACUACUGAUUUUAGAAAGAGUUCUUCAUAUCUUGAUCUUUUCCUCAAUAUUUACACAGAUGGACGACUUCGCACUUAAAUCUAUGAAAUACAGGACGAUUUCAACUUCCCAAUUAUCAAUUUAUAAAUUUUUCAUUAGUAACAUACCUUUUUUUCCAUCGUAUGUGUUUACAUAUCUCGAUGUAUACGUUAUUGCUCGUACACUUUACGAUAUUCAUACAACGGAGUGUGCCUUACACAGAAACUGCUACAACAAAGUUAUGAGAACGAAAGACUAAAAAUGACACUCCGUAAAUGUUAUGGACACCAUCACGAAUUCGUUGAUCCACACAAUGUGUAUAUGUCUAAACUAACUAUGGAACUUUCUUACCACGUUUUAGAUUGUGGUUGACCAUUUAGGUCGUCUGGUGUUUAAAGUACCAAAUAUGACCUUUUCCUGAUUAUGACUGUUUUGCUGAGUGUGAAUUCGCAUUGCUAUAAGACCUGUUAUGGUAUUUGUUUGCCCAACAAGCAUGUACUAGUAUUUAGUUAAGAUAUUGUAUUUGUAAUUCUGAUCAGUUGGUUUUAAAUAUCUUUUCGUUUGUAGUUGUAAUUUAAUUUUGUUUCUUUUCUAUUAGUAUGCAAGAGUAAAUAUAAUUAAUCACAUUUAUAUGAUUUAGUUGAAAGCAACUAUAUGUACACGAUAAUUUGUUUUACAGUUUGAUUUAGAAGAAAUACCGAGAUAGCUAUAUAAAAUAAUUAAUUAAUUCUAUAUUAAUAGUCUUGUAAUUGUUAUGAAAUACAUCAAAUAAAACAAUACCAUAUCUUAUCUACAAUUGUAGAUGUACAGAUGGGUGCGGUCCUAACCUUGACAAACGUUAACUUAGAGUUAACUUGUUGACUGCUUUUUAAGUUAACUUGAGAAUUUUUAAGCAGACCAGCAAGUUAACUUCGUCUACGGUGGACCAGACCUACGGUCCGCUUUUUUAUGACUGCUGCAGACCUAUCGACGGGUCUGUUCCAGACCAGACCUGUGGACAAGUCUUGCUUGACCAGUCCUGGGGACAGGUCUGCCCCAGACCAGACCUGUGGACAGUCUGCUCCUGACCAGACCGUGGAAGUCUGCUUCUGACCAGACCUGUGGACAAGUCUGCUAUUGACCAGACCUGGGGACAUGUCUGCUUAUGAAAUGUUAUCGUUUUUGCGACUUUUCAUAUCAGACUUGAGCUUUAUUAAAAUAUAUAUGUAUAAACAACAAUCGCAUUGUUCUUCCCAAGAAGGCCUCUGAUAGCAAAUUUCUUUACUCGCUAUACUCUACUAGACAUUAUUAAUAACAACACAAUUCUUUCUUUUUUUAUUUUUAUAUAUUCUUAUAAACAUUAGUCAAUUACAUAGAGCUAUCAUAUUUUUUUAAUUAGAAGGCGGACAGAAAUUAGGGUUAUCCAACGCAUCGGAACAACAUUCGUAUAUCAUGGGAUAUCAACAUCUAUGUCGACGUUACUUCGUUCCCCGUUUUUUACCUGUCCCUUCAUAGUUUUUACUUUACGCAUUUAUACAUGCAUGGAUAUUUCAUUGUUUUUCUACUUAUUUGGAUUGGAUUUACUAUUCUUUUUCCGCAGAAUAUUCUAAACAAAAUUGUACAGUUGUACAGUGUCCGGAUAUGUACGAUGUGGUAAAACUACCAAACAAUCUCGUUAUUAAUCGUCAGAUUUGUCGAGAGAUUUGUGCACAUGAAUGAAAUAGUUGUCACUUGACGUUUAACUCAAACAAAAUCAAUCAACCGAUUAUAAUAGAUUACACAGUAUACUAUUAACAGAAGAGAACCUCAAAUACAUUUUUUAUUAAAAAUCACAAAUGAAUUCAGACAUGUCAGUGUUGUACACAUGUACUUGGAUGAUGCGGCCUAAUAGAUUCGUUUUACACACCCUAGUGACUGUUCAAUAUUAUGAAUACAGAGAUGAAACGCUGACAUUCUCAAUGUAUGCGGGAAAAAAAUUGCAUUAAUUGUUUUCCUUAUUGCUUACAUUUGCCGUCCUACUAACAUGUUCACAGGAGUGCCAGGAGAAGACAUAAUUAGGCGCCAUCCCAACAGCAGUCAUUUAUUUUAUACAUUGAAUCCAGACAUCAAAAAUAUGGCUGAUUUACUAUGCGGACAUAUAUAGAUUUUUAAAUUAAAGUGCACAUAUGCAGGUCAGUUUUUGGUCGAUGCAGUCAAAUAAUUUUGUUGAUAAAGUCAGCAUGAGGUAUCAAAUCUACUGACAUUUUGUUACGUAUCAAUAUUUUGAAUAAAAGGAGGACAUGCUGAAAUCCAAAAUUAAUGAGAACAAAAAUUUGUUGUUAUUAUAUUGCAAUAUUACUGUCCAUUAUAUUAUACAUUGAAUCCUGGCAUAAAAAAUAUGGCUUAUUUACUAUGCGGGUAUACAUGGUAUAUAGAUUUAAAAAUUUAAAGUGCACAUAUGGUCAGUUUUGGUCAAUACGGUCAAAUCAUUUUGUUGUACAAGUCAGCAUGAGGUAUCAAAACUACUGAAAUUUUGUUACGUAUCAAUAUUUUGAAUAAAAAGAGGACAUGCUGGCACCCUAAAUUUAUGCGAACAAAAAUGUGUUGUUUAUGUUGUUAUUGUAUUGCAAUAUAGCUGUCCAUUGUAUUAUACAUUGAAUCCUGACAUAAAAAAAUAUGUUAUAGUUAUUGACCAAACAAGUCGGUAUAUGUCAUUUAAUCUGCACAGCACGAGAUGACCCAAUAACCCGAACGACGUAGGAGUUCGGGUUAUUGGGUCAUCUCGUGCUGUGCAGAUUGAAUUACAUAUACCGAUUUAAUUGGGCAAUAACUGUUUUAACACAUGACGCAAUCAAUUUACGUGAACGUUUUAGAAAUGUGGACGUUAUUCUCCAAUCCACGGGUCCUAGGAAAGUUUCUUGUAGGGUAAAGAAAGGGGGGGUGCGUCAAGGAUGCCCUGCUCUUCCAUGAUCUUCGUGAUCGCAGUUGAAAUCAUGGCAUGUAAAUUAAGGAAUGAUUAUAACAUUAAAGGUUUUGAAAUCAAACUUGACCAUUCAAAACAUAAUCUGAAAAUUUCCCAGUUAGCAGAUGAUACCACUCUGUUUCUUAAAUCAAAAAAUGAAAUUAUAGCAGCAUUAAACGUUAUUGAAAUAUUUGGCACAUUUUCUGGUCUUAAAUUAAAUAAAAACAAAACGGAAGGCAUUUGGAUAGGAAAACUGAAAAAUUGUAAAAAUAAAGUAGAUAAUAUAAAAUUCACAGAUAAACCCGUUAAAGUGUUAGGAUUAUAUUUCGGCACAAAUAAAGCAGAAUGCGCAAAACUAAAUUGGGAAAAUAAGUUUGAAAAAGCAAAAAAAAAACUCAUGAAAUCUUGGGAAAAAAAGACAUCUUACUAUCAUCGGUAAAAUUCUUAUAAUCAAAUCACUUAUUAUUCCACAAUUCACAUACUUAGCAAGUAUGACAGUCAUAAAUAAAACGUAUACAGCGACAAUCUAGAAAGAGAAAUUUUUAAUUUUAUUGGAACGGUAAACAAGACAAAUUAAAAAAGGUCAACUCUCAUAGCAGAUUACAAGUACAGGAGGACUCAAUAUGAUAGAUAUCGACAGCUACUUUAAUACACUUAAAAUUAAAUGGGUAUCAAGAUUAAUGGAGUCAAAACAUGAAAAUUGGUCAAUUAUUCCGAGAUUCUUUUUUGAUAAAUACGGAAAAAACUUCCUUAUCUUCAAAAUGAAUUUAGAACUUAAAAAUUUAAAAAAAUAAAACUACUUAAAAUUACAACUGAAUUACCAGAAUUUUAUCUGGAUAUUGUAAAAUGCUGGAUACGGAAAGGUGGAGGUCAAACUAAAUCACCCACUAACUUUAGAGAAAUACGCAAAGAAAUUAUAUGGGGGUAAUAAAAACAUAAAAAUAAAAAAUAAACCAUUAUUGAUGCUCAAUUGGAUCAAAAGCAAUAUAAUCUAUAUUAAUGAAAUUAUUGACGAAAACGGUCAAAUCAACGAAAAGACAAUACUGCGUAAGUUAGAAAUAAAACACAACUGGAUAGCCGAACUAUCAAUACUAAAAAAAAGCUAUUCCAAAAUGUUGGAUAGAUAUCCUGAAAACAAAUAAAUCUGUUAAAACCCGAGUUAGUAUUAACGAAAAAAUAAUCAGAAUGAAUGAAACAGAAAUAAAUUUAGCAGAUCUUGAUAACAAAACCGUCUAUCAAUAUUUUAAAAAAACAAAAUAACUCCAAACAUUGGAAUAAUAAAAUGGCAAAGAAUAUUAGGCGUAAAACCAUUACAAAUUAGACACUCCUUAUCAUUUACAAACAAAGAAAUAUACACAAACAAACUUAAAGUUUAUAAAUGGAAAUUAUUUAGCUAUAUAUUGCCGAACACAGAAAAUCUUUUCAAAUGGAAAAUAUCUAAUACGUCAGAGUGUGCUUUAUGCAAAUGCACAGACAAUUAUCAACAUUUUUUUAUCGAUUGUGAAUUUUUAAAAGACUUGUGGAAUAAAAUAACAGAAAAAAUGAAUAUCAUAAACUUCUGUAAAGAAAAUAAACUUAAUAGAUAUAGUCUUUGGAUAUAAAAUAGGAGACCGACAUUAUAAUGACAUAAAUCUUAUUAUAACGUUGAUAGGUUUCUCAAUUUACAAAUCAUUUUACACGUCGGAACAAAGAACAAAAUCGCCGACAUAUACAACAUCUUCAAAAAAGAAUUUGAAUUAUAUUUUGAAGUUAACAGAUGUGUAAAAAAAACGUAAAAGUAAUCUAAUUCGCAAAUUUCAAAAAUUCUUUUAAACUGUUAGAUUAUAAAUACGUAAACAUAAUAUUCAUAUAUAGUUUCGAAACAUAACGCACAAAAUAUUUACUCAAGUAUCUUUAAAAUGAAAUACUAUAAAUGCAAAAUUAAAUUUGACACCUCAGCGGCCGUAAGAAAAACCCUUAAAAUUACACCUAUUCUAAAACUUUAAAUCAAAACACAAUAAGGUACAUAUUUUGGGAAAGACAAUAAAUUCAUAUUUCGAUAAUAAUAAACAUAUAAUAUCUUACCUUUUGAUAAUAAUCCAAAAGCGAAAAGAUUAACACAUGAAACUAUAUUAUCCUUCAAUCAUGUCAGGUUACGAUUAUUUGAUCACACUAAGACCUUGCACGAUUUUUCUAAACGAGCAAUAUGUGUCAGGUAGAGACUGUAUCCAAUUAUGAGAAUGUAAAAGUAAAGGUCAAAUACGGAACAAAAUUACGUAAUUAUAAAUGUGAAUGAUUUGCAAUUAUAUAUGCUUAUAUUGUAUUUUUUUUCUAUUUGUAAUUGACUGUAUAUUGUAAUUUUUUCUAUUUGUAAUUGACUAGCAAUUAGUUGGAUUAUAUUAUAAUUUAUAAAUGUAUGUUUUACAGACAAAUUAAACUAACAAGUACUAACAAAAUUUAAUAUAUACUACUAACGGUUAACGAGGCCGGGAUAAGGUACCGGUAUUUGAUGUAUCCACUAACAAAUGUGAAAAACUAUCAAUAAAACAUGAUUUACCUUUAAAAAAAAAAAAAAAAAGAAAGGGGGAAUACGAAUUUGGUAAGUUUUAAAUAAUUUUUUUUAUAUUUAGACUCAUUCUAAAAUAGCGAUUUAAUGGUAUAUGUUCUUAAAUCAUUGUUAUUAUUCCCAUUUUUAUUUAAUUGGUGACGAUAAGCUUUGAUAAAUUGUGUUAUUUCAAAUCUGUAUGAAAAAAAAAUUAACUGCAAGGGUUGUUGAGUUUAAAUAAGACUAAUUGCUUUUGAAUAUCUUUCCCUCAAUGAUAUGCUUAAAAAAGAACCGAGGAAGAUGUUGUAAUACCUAAAUUUAAAAGGUUAAAUAAACAGAAAAUAUGUUUCUCUUUCAAAACCUUUUACUCCCCCGCAAUUCCCCCCCCCCAUUUCUUUUAAUCUACUGUAUUACUUUUUAGGACACGUCCAUCUAAAUGAAGUCUGAUUGAUCUCCAGCUAAUCACCCAGUUUUAAAACAAACUUUAAUAUGGUCCUCAUUAAAUCCGAUCCAAAUAUAGUCUCUUUAUAGGAAUAAUUAUUCAAAAAGUCGUUCAGAUGGCGGAUUUGGGGGUGGGGGCGAACGGGCCGUUUACCCAUGGAUUGGACAAAGUACGGUGUUUUAGCUUAAAAUGGUCAAUAUUGUCUUUAGUCUCGCUACACUCGGUGAUAUUUAUGCCCCACCUACGAUAGUAAAGGGGCAUAUGUUUUCUGGUCUGUGCCUCCGUUCUUCCGUCCGUCCGUUCGUCGUACGUCUGUGCGUCGUUUGUCCGUCCGCUUCAGGUUAAAGUUUUUGGUCAAGGUAGUGUUGAAGAAGUUGAAGUCCAAUCAACUUGAAACUUAGUACAUAUGUUCCUCAUGAUAUUAUCUUUCUAAUUUUACUGCCAAAUUAAAGUGUUGACCCCAAUUUCACGGUCCACUAACAUAGAAAUGAUAGUGCGAGUGGGCAUUCGUGUACUUUGACACAUUCUUGUUUUUUUUUUUAAUUGAUAGGAAUAACGCCUUUCAAAAUCCGGGAACCGCCCUUAAGGUAAAAAUAGAUUUGAACUGUGCGGUUAUAUCUGAGGUAGUUAAUGCACACUUUGCUGUGCAUUAUCUAGAUUAUAGCACAGUAAGAACAAAGAGAUUUUACUCUUGCCAUGUGUUAAGGCUGAUUUACUAUGCUGGCAUAUAGAUUUACAAAUUAGAGUGCAAUAUGGUCAGUUUGGUUCUUUGGUCAAUGCGGUCAAAUUAUUUCAUUGUACAAGUCAUCAUGAGGUAUCAAAACUAUUGAAAUUUUGUUAUGUAUCAAUAUUUUGAAUAUAAGGAGGACAUGCUGGCACUCUAAAUUUAUGCGAAAACAAAACUUGUUGUUAUCAGCUGGUAUUGUUUGCAACAUUGCAAUCCAUUGUAUUAUAACAUGAAUCCUGACAUAAAAAAUAUGACUGAAUUACUAUGCGGUACAUAUGGUAUAUAAUUUACAAAUUUAAGUGCACAUAUGUCAGUUUUGGGAAGCGCUCAAAAUAUUUUGUUGUACAAGUCAGCAUAGGAUCAAAACACUGUAAUUUUGAUACGUAUCAAUAUCUUGAAUAAAAGGAGGACAUUUACCCUAAAAUGUAUGCGAACACAAAUGUGUUGUUAUUGUAUUGUAAUAUUGCUGUCCAUUGUAUUGACAUUGAAUCCUACACAAAAAAUAUGGCUGAUUUACUUACAGGUAUAUAACUUUACAAAUUAAAGUGUACAUAUGGUCAGUUUAGUUGGUCGGUCAAAUAUUUUGUUGUACAAGUCAGCAUGGUCAGCAUGAGGUAUCAAAACUACUGAAAUUUUGUUACGUAUCAAUAUUUUGAAUUAAAGGAGGACAUGCUGGCACCGUGAAUUUAUGCGAACACCAAAUUUGUUUAUUGUAUUGCAUAUUGCUUCCAUUGUAUUAUACAUUGAAUCCUGACAUAAAAAAUAUGGCUGAUUUACUAUGCGGGUAUAUAGAUUUACAAAUUAAAGUGCACAUAUGGUCAGUUUAAGUUGAUGCAGUCAACAAAAUUUUGUUGUACAAGUCAGCUAUGGUAACAUGAGGUAUCAAAAUACUGAAAUUUUGUUAACGUAUCAAUAUUUUGAAUUAAAGGAGGACAUGCUGGCACCGUGAAUUUAUGCGAACACAAAUUUGUUGUUAUUGUAUUGCAAUAUUCUUGUCCAUUGUAUAUAUUAUACAUUGAAUCCUGACAUAAAAAAUAUGGCUGAUUUACUAUGCGGGUAUAUAGAUUUACAAUUUAAAGUGCCACAUUAUGGUCAGUUUAAGUUGAUGCGGUCAAAUAAUUUUGCCGGACAAGUCAGCAUGAGUAUCAAAACUACUGUAAUUUUGUUACGUAUUAAUAUUUUUGAAUAAAAGGAUGACAUGCUGUCACCCUUAAUUUAUGCGAACAAAAUUUGUUGUUAUUGUAUACAAUAUGCUGUCCAUUGUAUUAUACAUUGAAUCCCUGACAUAAAAAAUAUGGCUGAAUAACUAUGCUGGUAUAUAGAUUGUUAGAAAUUAAAGUGCACAAAUUGUCAGUUUUAGUUGAUGCAGUCCAACAAUUUUUUGUACAAGUCAGCAUGAGUAUCAAAAACUACUGAAAUUUUGUUACGCAUCACAAUUUUGAAUAAAAGGAGGACAUGAAGGCACCCUUAAUUUAUGCGAACACAAAUUUGUUGUUAUUGUAUUGCAAUAUUGCUGUCCAUUGUAUUAUACAUUGAAUCCUGACAUAAAAAAUAUGGCUGAUUUACUAUGCUGUUAUAUAGAUUUAUGAAUAAAAGUGCUCACAUGGUCAGUUUUGGUUCAACACGGUCAAAUAAUUUUGUUGCACAAGUCAGCUAGAGGUAUCAAAACUACUGAAAUUUUGUUACGUAUCAAUAUUUUGAAUAAAUGGAGAACAUAUGCUGGCACCCUAAAUUUAUGCCAACAAAAAAUGUGUUAUUGUAUGGCAAUAUUGUUGUCCAUUGUAAUAUACAAUUAAUUGAAUCCUGACAUAACAAAUAUGGCUGAUUACUAUGUUGGUAUUAGAUUUACAAGUUAAAGUGCACAUAUGGUCAGUUUUAGUUGAUGCAGUCAAAUUAAUUUUGUUGUACAAGUCAGUAUGACGGUAUCAAAACUACUGAUAUUUUAAUAAAAGAGGACAUGCUGGUACCCUAAAUUUAUUGCAACACAAAAUUUGAAAAAUAUGGCUGAUUUACUAUGUGGUAUAUAGAUUUAAAAAAAGUGCAACAGGUCAGUUUUGGUCAACACGGUCAAAUAAUUUUGUUGCACAAGUCGCAAGAGGUAUCAAAACUACUGAAAUUUGUUACGUAUCAAUAUUUGAAUAAAAGGAGGACAUAUGCUGGCACCCUAAAUUGUGCAACAAAAAAUUGUUGUUAUUGUUAUAGCAAUAUUGCUGUCCAUUGUAAUAUACAUUGAUCCUGACAUAACAAAUAUGGCUGAUUUACUAUGCUGGUAUAUAGAUUUACAAAUUAAAGUGCAAUAUGGUCAGUUUUAGUUGAUGCAGUCAAAUAAUUUUGUUGUAAGUCAGUAUGAGGUCAAAACUACUGAAAUUUUAAAAGAGGACAUGCUGGCCCUAAAUUUAUGCGAACAAAAAUUUGAAAAUAUGGCUGAUUUACUAUGGUAUAUAGAUUUAUAAAAAAGUGCACACAUGGUCAGUUGUCAACGCGGUCAAAUAAUUUUGUUGCACAAGUCAGCAAGAGGUAUCAAAACUACUGAAAUUUUGUUACGUAUCAAUAUUUUGAAUAAAAGGAGACACAUGCUGGUACCGUAAAUUUAUGCGCAACAAAAAUUUGAAAAAAUAUGGCUGUUUACUAUGCAGGUAUAUAGAUUUAUAAAUAAAAUGCACACAUGUCAGUUUUUGGUUCAAAUAAUUUUGUACAAGUCAGCAUGAGGUAUCAAACGUAACUAAAUUUUUUUAUGCAUAAAUAUUUUGAAUAAAGGAGGACCUGCUGGCACCCUAAAUGUAUGGGAACAAAAAAUUUGUAGUCAUGUGUUAAAAUGGAUGCUUUCUCUAAAAUACGUCCUUUCAUAGAUUAACAUAUAAAUAAAGUGCAAAUAUGGUUGAAUUUGAUAGGUAUUGGAAUAUUUUUUUCAGUGCCCGUUAUCAUUGUAACCAAGAUCUUUUUUUUUAUUUAUAGAUUGGCAGAUCACAGAUAAAUUUGUGUUUCAAGCGACGUUUUAUGCGAACUUUAUUUUCAAAUAUUUGUAUUAAAUCCUGUUUAUAUAACGGAAGUAUUAGUUUUAUUUAUUUCGUGUUUUAUACUACAAACAAAGAUAAUUAAAAAUUUUUUUAAAAAUCGAUGUAGACGGUCCUUGGUUACAAGUUACUUAGUGUUGAGCAGACAGUCAAAGUAAUUGGGAACAGUCUGGUUCGAUCGGAAUUGUCAAAGCAAAAAUUAACUUUGUGCAGGGACGUCUCGAAGUUAACUUAUGUUAACUUAUGGCAGACUGGUUUCGAAGUUAACUUAUGUUAACUUUACGCAGGACUGGUUCGAAUUAACUUAUUAAUAGCGACAUGUUCGAAGUUAACUUUUUGGCAGACAAUAAAAAGUCCUAGGACCAAGUCCGCUUUUCAAGUAACUAGAUUUAGUCCUAGGAACUGGUCAGAGCAGUCCUAAAUUUUGUCACAGGUUUACUUUGACCAGUCCAAUGACUGGUUAUCAAGUUAACUUGAUGUACAGGUUAGGACUGCACCCAUCUGUAUAUCCAAUUUUUAGAAAUUUACCUGUGACGUCACUUUUGUGGCACUGUUAUUCCGUGUGACGGACAGUUCGUAAUUAUGUUUUGCUGUUUUUGUGUACUGCCUUAACUUAUUUUACAUGUUCGUUGUUAUUUUGUGGUUUACAUGUUGAUAUAUACUAAAAUAAUAGUACUCUCAAUUUAUGCAGACAAAAUUUUGUAGUUAUUGUGUUCCAGUAUUGCUGUCAUUUGUACUAAACAUCAAAUCCUGACAUAAAAAUAUUACUGAUUUACUACGCGGCUAUACAAAUUUACAUAAAAAAGUGCAAAUAUGGCCACUUUUUUGUUGAUGCGGUCAAAUAAUUUUGCUAUACAAGUCAGCCUGAGUUAUAAAAAAUAUUGCAAUUUUGUUACGUAUCAAUAUAUCAUGUAUAUUGAACAAGGAGAAGACACGCUGACACUCUAAAUUCAUGCGGACAAAAUUUGUAAUUAUUGUGUGCCAAUAUUGCUGCCAUUUGUAUUAUACAUUUUAUCCUGAUCUGGAAAUAUAUGAUUUACUAUGCGGCUAUAUAGAUUUACAUGAUAAAGUACACAUUUAUGCAGACAAAAUUUUGAACUUAUUGUGUUCCAAUACUGCUGUCAUUUGUAUUAUACAUUAAAUCCUGACAUAAAAGUAUUGCUUAUUUACUAUGCAGCUAUAUAGAUUACAAAAUAUAGUGCAAUAAUGGUAAUUUUUUAUUCCUUCGAACGAAUGCUUUUGUUAUAGGUGUCUGCCUGAGGUAUCAAAAGUGCUGCAAUUUUGAUGCAAGACACUAUUUUGAUUAAAAGAGGGACGAAAUAUACCAAAGGGACAGUCAAACUCUAAAAUCUAAAACAAACUGACAACGCCAUGGCAAAAAAUGAAAAAGACAAACAAACAACAGCACACACGACACAACAUAGAAAACUAAAGAAUAAACAACACGAACCCCACCAAAAAACUAGGGGUGACAGGUGCUAAGGGUAAAGCAGAUCCUGGUUCCACAUUGCACCCGUCGUGUUGCUUAUGUUAUAACAAAUCCGGAAAAUAGUCUAAUUCGGUAUGUCACAUUCAUGAAAGGGAAGGGGAUUGUAGUUACGACGUAAGGAACAUAUCCGAUAUCAUUUGUGAAACGGUUAUAUCAUAACGGUAACCAACUCUGAUGGCGUCCGUAAAAUUUACGAAAGGGAUGAUUUCAACUUCACCAUUUGGAACUCUUGGUUUAAUAGUUCCUUGUGAGCAGUAACCAUCUAUCAAGAAAAUCAUGAUAGGAAAUGCAAGCACGGAAAUAUCGUAUCAAUUGGAAGAUAUAUACCCCGUAUGCAGGUGGUGCUGGAAUGUUGCUACUUAGAAAUGGAAAGUUCACAAUUGGAAAGCUGAAAUCAUCAUCAUUGAUUAAAAAGAGUACAUGCUGGCACUCUAAAUUUAUGCGAACAAAAUUUUGUAGUCCUUGUGUUCUAAUAUUGCUGUUUUUUGUUGUAUUCAUCCUGACAUAAAAUACAAUUUAAAUAUUAUGCCGAUAUAUAAAUUCACAUAAUUAAGUGCAAAUAUAGUUUGCUAUGGUUGAUGUGGUCAAAUAAUUCUGUUGUACGAGUCUGCUUGAGGUAUCAGAACUGCUUUUGAAAUUUUGUUGUGAGACAAUAAGUUACACAAAAAAGGGCAUGCUGGCAAUCUUAAUUGAUGAGAAGUUAUUGUUAGAGUUAUUGUGUUCCAGUAUUGCUGGCAUUUGAUUUAUACAAUACAUUCUGACAUUAAAUAUUACUGAAUUAGUAUGCAGCUAUUAAACGUUACAUAGUGUGUAAGUGACCUAUAUCGAUAUAUACAGGGUUCGUAAAAUCCAUAUGGGGUGCGAGCAAACCUCAAACCCCAUAUGAAAUUUGCUAACCCCGUAUAUAUCGUUUUAGGUCACUAGCACACUGUGUAACGAAUUUAUCUUACCGACUAUCUUUGUUUGUUGAAUUCAGACAAUCAUACCACAUCUUCUUUUUUUUAUAUUAAAGUGUUCAAGUGUUAAGUUUUAAUAAGAUACUUCCAUUGGUCUACACAAGAAACUAAUGGCAACACUAAAAAUUUGAUAUAAAAUAUUAAACAGAACUUUAAAAUCAAAUUAAGAAUGGAUAUGGGGAAUGUAUCAUAGUGACAACAACCCGACCAAAGAGCAGACAACAGCCGAAGGCCACCAAUGAGUCAUCAAUACAUUUAAAGAAAGCAAAUAGUGCCAAAGUCGUUACUCCACUACUAACAGUGUAUUGAAAUACGCCCGCCUCCCUAUUAACCUAAUAUAAAAUAUAAACGGUCCCUACGUGGACGCUUUGAGCCAAUCAUAUUCCUAGAAAUUAUUAGAAGAUAUAAUGAAUAGAUUUAUAUGACAAAGUGCAAAUAUGAUAAGUUCUGAUCGAUUUGGUCAACUAAUUUUGUUGUAAGAGUCAGCAUGGGUUAUCAAAAUACUGAUUUUGUUUUAACGUAUUAAUAAAGUAAACAAAACAAAGACAUGCUGGCACUCUAGGUUUAUGUGGACAAAUUUUGUAGUCAUCGUGUUGCUGUCAGUUGUAUUAUAUACUCCAUCCUGACAUAUACAUAUAGCUAUUACUAUGCGGCUAUAUGGAUUUACAAGAUAGCGUGCAAAUAUGGUUUAAUCCAAUUAAAUCAUUUCGUAUACAUUCAAUAAUUUAUUAAUUAUAGAAACAUUUGAGAAAGGCAGAUCAUGGAUAAAUUGUAUAAAAAGCAAAGUUUCAAGCGUAUUUUAUUUAACAAAUCUAUGUAUUUAAUCGUGUUCAUAAUACGGAAGUAUCAAUAUUACUUAAUUUUUCUAUGUUUAAUUACAAGACACAAAGAUAUUAAAACAUAUUUUUAAAAAUCGAUGUAUAGUGGUCCUGAUUACCAUUCAAUGAGAAGACUAAUCAAAAGUUAACUUAAAAUCAGGUCUGGUCCGAUCAGCGUAGUCAAAACCAACGUUAGCUUACGUUACCUUAUGUAUAGCAUGAUUGGACAGGUUUCGAAGUUAACUUAUAUAAAUUUAUGAUAUAGCAGGACUUCUCGAAGUUAACUUAUAUCAGUAGUGGACUUGUUUCCAAGUUAACUUUCUUGGCAGACAUAAAAACCGCCCUAGGACUGAGUCUGCUUUUCAUGUUAACUAGAUUGUGGUCCUAGGACUGGUCAGAACAUCCAUUAAUCGUGUAACAGGUUAUUUUUUACCAGUCCAAAUGACUGGUUCCCAAGUUGACUGGCUGUAUAGGUUGGGACUGUACCCAUCUGUACAGUCAUGAAAAAUUCAUGAAAAAUAUAAGCCUGAUUUGCUCUUUCUCUUUCUUCUCCAAAAUCCAUUCUAACAUAAAUUUUACUUUUAAUUGAAAAUAAAAAGAUAGGAAAAAAACAAAUUUCUAAAUAGGUCAAUCCGGCUUAUCCUUUAAAACUACUGGAAAUAAAUAUCCUUUUAGCAACAUGAUACGUUCGUUGCAUCAUACAGCAACAUAUGUGCCUAACUCCUUUUCUUUAGGACACAUCACCAUUUAUCGUGCAGUACACUCAAAAUCAGUGAUAUUGUCAUGGAAAUUUACAAAUACAAUUAUUACAUGAAUUCUUUAGAAGAUAUUUCGUAAUCUACAUGUACACCUUAGCGUUCCAUGGGAAAUGAGUUAACAUACUACAGAACGUAUAUCAUAUACAGAAUGGUCUAGUAAAUGCCAUUACUAUACAACAAUUUAUAGUGUUCGAUAUAAAAAAAAAAGAGGAAGAUAAAUGUCAUUCAACAAACGAUCAAAAUGUUUACAGUUAUCUAGGCAUCAGAAUUGUAUGACACUUCCCCUGGCAUACAUAUUUAAAAUUGAGAUAGCCCCCAUUUUCAUUCGUGGCCGAUUUGUAAUACCUCCGAAUAACACUUGCUAGUGUCUUAUCUCGGUGAAACGGCCAUAUUUAGUGGAAUCUGCCGACUUGGAAUGUUAGUUUAUUGUAAAAUGUUCAAAAACAGAGUUUAGUUUCCUAUACACUAGUUUAUUUUAUAUCUUGCAAUGUGUUCAGCAGACCAUGAAAACAAAAUUGCAUUCGUUUGUAAUAUUGAACGUAUAAAUAUUAAAAAAAAAACAGUUAGUGAAAAGAUAUAUUUCACUUCAAGUCUUGUUUUUAAUUAAAUUUUUAAAUGUUGUUUUUUUUAAUUUUUUUUACUUCUUAAAAAGAUUGUUGCAUAUACAUUACAAUCAAUAGAGUUGUUCAUAGGAUAUCAUGCUACAACACUGUUAAUAAGUAUUAUUGGAAACAUGAUACUUUCAACAGUUAUAUUGUGGGUACAUGUAGUACGGAAGGAAAGCAUUAUACGGUGUUUUGAUCAAAUUUGAUUAUUUAUUGUAUACGUUUUACGUUCAAUUUUUGGCAAAAAGUUAUAACAGAAACGAAUGCAUUCACUGUUUUUGAUGUAUGAGUUGUGACAUACAUUCAGUUAUAUCGACGUUGCACAUAACGGAGUUAAUCUUAAAAUAGUUAAAUGACAUUUUGUCUGUUUAGUUCACGCAUCGUUGUAAAUAUAACGGAAUUUGAUGAGACUGCCUUCAAAGUGAGAGGGUUAGCACUGUUAAACCAGGUUUAAUCCAUUUUCUACAUUUGAAAAUGCCUGUACCAAGUCAGGAAUAUGACAAUUCUUGUCCAUUCGUUUUCUAUGUGUUUUUUUUAUUUUUUAUUUUGCCAUGUGAUUAUGGACUUUCCGAAUUGAUUUUCCUCUAAGUUCAGUACUUUUGUGAUUUUACUUUUUGAUGUAAUUUUUCACCUCAGUACAAAAAGAGGAAUCGAGAAUGUUUGUAAUAAUGCGACUUUUCUUUAUUGUUUCUAAACUGAUAUUUGUGAAGAUUGACAAAAUACUUUCAGUUUGCAUUCGAAUACUAAAACUCAUCUAGUAAAAAACUGACCUCAUACAAAUUUAGGAUAUCAAUUGAUUUAUUCAAAGAAACAUUAAAUCUAUAGCGCGUAUUUUUUUGUUAUAAAAACUUUAAUUGCAAAAAGUUAAACAUUAAAAAGACCCUAAAUUAAUAUUGAACGAACAAGAUUGAGAUGAAGAACAACGAGCAAGUGUUGUUGUUGUAUUUUCUAAAAUAUAAGUCCUUCUUUUCAUCAUGAAAUGAUUAAAAGUUGUUAUAGAGUUGUCUCUCUUUGACUGUUGUUUAUUGUAAUUCACAAUUGCCAAGAUUAAAACACUUCUGACUUUCUGUAUUCUAUACUCAUAUUGACAUAGUGUCGUAAAACCCCUGGUAGUUAAACACGAUUACACCACCACCUUCCAUUGAGAGUGACCGGGGACAACACUCGUAUUACCAAUGCUCCAGUUAUUAGUGCCACACCUGUUGGUAGUUGGAUGCCUCCCUUUUAUAAGAUGCUGCAGAGGAGGUCCCAGAGUUACCCAUCUGUAGACCCCAAUGUUAUCUCUAACCACAUUUUCCAAAGCUGUAAAUUGUAGAACUUGUCAGGCAAUGAGAAAGGGCCGAUUGAAAUAAUCUCCCAAUCACUACCAGUUUCCCUGACUCUGCGCCUAAGGAUGGCAGAAGAAAUAAUUUUCCUUUCUUUCUAAUUAAUACAAUUAGUAAUUAAAAUAAACUUAUAUUCUUCUGACUGCUUAAAUUACAAUAGUCCAUAUGUGCAUAAAGUGUUGAAUGAUGGAAAUGUCAAAAUCGAAGAAACGCGAAUUUACUCCAAACAAUCCUGUAUUGGUCUAAUACCAUGGAGGAACUGCUUGGAUACUGGUGUCUAUAAUAUUACAACCAAUUACAGCAAACUAGUGCCUGAAAAUAUAAAAUUAAAACAGCAGCAACUAUUCUCAUUUUGGGAGGGUGGGCGGGAUUUAAAUAAUUAAACUAUUUUCUGAAGCACCUACUUCGUUGUCGACAGCCAAUUAACAAUUGCCCGAUACGGGAAUUCCAAAAUUUAAAUUACACGUGAAAGCACCAUCUUUGGCCAUGCCAAAUAUUGCAUUGAGAUAAAGGCUGCAACACCCAUACAAAUAUUUGAUUGAAUUAGACAAGAGUAUUGAAAAUAUAAAAAUUUCAUAAUAUCUAUUAUGAUAAAAUUAAACACUUUUUAAAAGGAAUUUAUCGUUUUUAACUCUACCAAUUUACUAAGAAACAACUGAAAGUACGCAGGACUUUUCGAAUAUGUUUUGAGAGUGUCUUGGUCCAGUUUAUUCACCAAUAAAAUCCUUUAAAAGGCGUUUAUUACUUAUAAUUUGUACAGUCUAACACACAUUAAUCGUUUAAAUGUGGCAUUUAAUUGAUCUUGAGCAUGCAAAUAUUUUUGGUUUACGGAAAAGUAUGUAAUCCUUGAACUUUUCAAUUGUAUAAAAAUAAAAAAAUAAAACUCUUAUUAUUAUUUAAAUACAUUUUUUGUCUGUACUAUCUAAUUUAACGUCUAAUGCAAAAAGAAAAAAAAUAUUUUGGUCGCGCCAGAUUGUGUUAUUAUCCCUGCUAUAUUGUUUAUAUUUGUUACAAAAAGAAGUUCAGUACACGUCGUCUAUCGAAAAAAAUAUAAAAAGUCAAAUAUAGCAAUGUGGAAGUCUUCUUGACCAAUCAUAUCAACGUAUUCUCUAGUAUGCAAAUCAUAUAAUUAUUAUCAACUUUUAUUUUCAAUCAUUUAACAAUACAAUGUGUCGAGGAAUCAGCAUGAAAGAGAAAGAAUAUGUGUUGUGUCAUUAAAAAUAAAUAUUAUCAAUAAUCUAAAAACAGAGGUGUUCGCAGGUGCUCCAGAAGAUAAAGCAGAUUUUGCUCCACAAGUGUCACCCAUAGGGUUUCUCAUCUAAGUACAAACGCUUAUAUAGAAAAUGCAAGCUGUGGGAUAAUAUAACAAUUGGGAUAUAUAACUUGUGGUUUUUGUUCGAUCUUAUCCGUAUCAUAUAUAUAUCUGAUAUCUGUAGAUGACAUUUUCAUGUGUCAGCUAAAAUACAAAACACUGCUACAAUAAACUUACACUACAUCAUGAUUAACACUGAUGUUGUCAUCAACAGUUGUAACCAUGUACGAAACUACUUUUUUCUGAAUGUUAAUUACUUACCAUUGUAAAUCUAGAACUCUCAUAAAGUCAUUUUCCAUCUUUACAAUUUCAUUCUUCCCAAGAAAUUUGACGGUUCUGACAGUUUUGAAUAUUCUUCUAAUUAUUAUUACUUUAAAUUGCUUCAUGUUAUGUGUUUUAUCUUUAGCCUUUUAUAGACAAUAAUAAAGAACAAGGCGCCGGUCGCAAUGAUACCACUGCAGAAUUACAAACAAUAUGUUCUACGCAUAUUGAUGCUUCUGUGGUCUACAACACUAUAUGUUUGUCAAAGUAAGUGUAAUUAUCAUUAAACAUAAAAUAUUAAAGCGAUAAUAUGUCACCGAUGUUAAAUUCUAACUGAAACGUAAACGCCAUUCGAUGUAGCAGAGGGCUUGUUACUUCUGCGAAGUUGAAAGUUGAUAUUUUGGUACUUAAAAUAAUCACGUUUGUGAUAGAUUCUUAUUUGAAGUUGUCCAUCAACAAUCCCGUAAAUAUAAUCAUAUUUCUAUUUUGUUAUAAAUUCAUUAAAUCCCAAC
rnacentral:lncRNA from 1 species